AACGAAUGCUGGCGGCAGGCUUAACACAUGCAAGUCGAGCGCCCCGCAAGGGGAGCGGCAGACGGGUGAGUAACGCGUGGGAAUCUACCGUGCCCUACGGAAUAGCUCCGGGAAACUGGAAUUAAUACCGUAUACGCCCUACGGGGGAAAGAUUUAUCGGGGUAUGGUGAGCCCGCGUUGGAUUAGCUAGUUGGUGGGGUAAAGGCCUACCAAGGCGACGAUCCAUAGCUGGUCUGAGAGGAUGAUCAGCCACAUUGGGACUGAGACACGGCCCAAACUCCUACGGGAGGCAGCAGUGGGGAAUAUUGGACAAUGGGCGCAAGCCUGAUCCAGCCAUGCCGCGUGAGUGAAGAAGGUCUUAGGAUUGUAAAGCUCUUUCACCGAUGAAGAUAAUGACGGUAGUCGGAGAAGAAGCCCCGGCUAACUUCGUGCCAGCAGCCGCUGUAA
rnacentral:rRNA from 1 species